rnacentral:tRNA from 1 species
CAGAAAAUAGUUUAUAAAAAAUAUUAAUUUUGGAGAUUAAUGAUAAAGAAGUUCUUUUUUUCUGA